rnacentral:lncRNA from 1 species
CCUCACAUCCCUUGCAUUCAGCAGGGAGGGAGCAACUGAGUUUCCAGGAAUGUCAUUCAGUCCAUGUGAACAGGAGUACAGUGCUGCUGUUGUGCCCGAAUGUAUGGAGGGUAGUGAGAACCACAUUCCAUGGCAUACCCAGACAUCCUCUUCAUCCCAGUCCUGGAGACAUUCCACAGGAAGUCCUAGAGCCUCCUUUACACCUGAGACAUACCACCAAGCCUCUGGCAAAAAAAAAAAAAAAAAAAGAAAGAAAGAAAGAAAGAAAGAAAAGAAAAGAAAAGAAAAGAAAAGAAAAGAAAAGAAAAGAAAAGAAAAGAAAAGAAAGAAAUCUGAGCCACAUCUGAUCUCCCACCCUUGGAUUCAGCAGCUUCUGAACUACUGAUUCAUUCUGCAUGACAUCUGCUUCCUGUUUCCCAGCCUCCCAUGCAACAACUAUAGAACCCUGGAACCUGCCGAAAGCCACAGAUCAACACUAUGGCACCAAUAUAAGAUCAGAUCUAAUAAAUGAUGCCCAUGUGAAAACAUAUGGCAAGAGGAAGCUACAUCUCAAAAGGACUCAACAAAAGGAUAGGGGCAUGGACACCUGGGUCCCUAAUCUCAGACCUAUUAAAUGGUGGAAAUAACAUGGGUGAUUGAUGUUUUUUUAAGGUU